rnacentral:rRNA from 1 species
AUGGUUUGACCUCGGAUCAGGUAGRGAUACCCGCUGAACUUA